UGUGAAAUCCCGAGGCUCAACCUCGGGCUUGCAGUGGGUACGGGCAGACUAGAGUGCGGUAGGGGAGAUUGGAAUUCCUGGUGUAGCGGUGGAAUGCGCAGAUAUCAGGAGGAACACCGAUGGCGAAGGCAGAUCUCUGGGCCGUAACUGACGCUGAGGAGCGAAAGCGUGGGGAGCGAACAGGAUUAGAUACCCUGGUAGUCCACGCCGUAAACGUUGGGCGCUAGAUGUAGGGACCUUUCCACGGUUUCUGUGUCGUAGCUAACGCAUUAAGCGCCCCGCCUGGGGAGUACGGCCGCAAGGCUAAAACUCAAAGGAAUUGACGGGGGCCCGCACAAGCGGCGGAGCAUGCGGAUUAAUUCGAUGCAACGCGAAGAACCUUACCAAGGCUUGACAUACACCGGAAACGGCCAGAGAUGGUUGCCCCCUUGUGGUCGGUGUACAGGUGGUGCAUGGUUGUCGUCAGCUCGUGUCGUGAGAUGUUGGGUUAAGUCCCGCAACGAGCGCAACCCUCGUUCUAUGUUGCCAGCGCGUUAUGGCGGGGACUCAUAGGAGACUGCCGGGGUCAACUCGGAGGAAGGUGGGGAUGACGUCAAAUCAUCAUGCCCCUUAUGUCUUGGGCUUCACGCAUGCUACAAUGGCCGGUACAAAGGGCUGCGAUACCGUAAGGUGGAGCGAAUCCCAAAAAGCCGGUCUCAGUUCGGAUUGAGGUCUGCAACUCGACCUCAUGAAGUCGGAGUCGCUAGUAAUCGCAGAUCAGCAACGCUGCGGUGAAUACGUUCCCGGGCCUUGUACACACCGCCCGUCAAGUC
rnacentral:rRNA from 1 species